GAUGAACGCUAGCGGCAGGCUUAAUACAUGCAAGUCGAGGGGCAGCAUGAUUGUAGCAAUACAAUUGAUGGCGACCGGCAAACGGGUGCGGAACACGUACACAACCUUCCAACAAGUGGGGGAUAGCCCAGAGAAAUUUGGAUUAAUACCCCGUAACAUAGCGAUGUGGCAUCACAUUGCUCUUAUAGAUUUUUCGCUUGUUGAUGGGUGUGCGGCUGAUUAGAUAGUUGGCGGGGUAACGGCCCACCAAGUCUACGAUCAGUAGCUGAUGUGAGAGCAUGAUCAGCCACACGGGCACUGAGACACGGGCCCGACUCCUACGGGAGGAAGCAGUAAGGAAUAUUGGACAAUGGACGCAAGUCUGAUCCAGCCAUGCCGCGUGAAGGAUUAAGGUCCUCUGGAUUGUAAACUUCUUUUAUAAGGGACGAAAAAAGGCUUUUCUAAGUCGUCUGACGGUACCUUAUGAAUAAGCACCGGCUAACUCCGUGCCAGCCGCCGCAGUAAUAC
rnacentral:rRNA from 1 species